GGGGGUGUAGCUCAGUGGCAGAGCACUUGCCUAGCAAGCAUGACUCCCCCA
rnacentral:tRNA from 1 species